rnacentral:rRNA from 1 species
UGCGUAGGCGGGCUAAUAAGUCAGUGGUGAAAUCUUCCGGCUCAACCGGGAACCUGCCAUUGAUACUGUUAGUCUUGAGUUCGGUUGAGGUAGGCGGAAUGUGUAAUGUAGCGGUGAAAUGCUUAGGUAUUACACAGAACACCAAUUGCGUAGGCAGCUUACUAGACCGACACUGACGCUGAGGCACGAAAGCGUGGGGAGCGAACAGGAUUAGAUACCCUGGUAGUCC